UAGUGAGAGAUGAUCAGGUGGGGAGUGGUUAUCAGAAACCUUAUUCCAUUUUCGUGGAUCCAAGAAGUGAUGAAAGUGAUUAUGCGUAUCGAUGGAAUUCACCUAUUUGGACGGUAAAAAAAGAAGAGAGAUAUUGGACGAAACUGCUCUGAAACCUUAUCAGUUGUUACAUGAGCGGAGCAUGAUUCACGAAAACGGAGCAAGGGUCCUGAUAAAUAUUCUUCACCUGAUCGUCUUUCACUG